UGCCAAGUGGUUGAGUGACGUAUAGCGCCGCAGCGUCUGUGCGAAGGCGCCGGCCGCGGCCACCUGCAUGGAGACAGUAGGUACGCAUCUUCACGAAUGCCCUGCCACUCUGAAUUUAAGACACAGCGAAGAGCCGCGCCCCUCCAGUACUGAGCCCAUGGCCCUGCACAGACUUGGCGAGGGUGUACCACUGAGCUCCAUAUGUUUCAAUCAGAGCAGCCUCGGAUACCUGUUCCGUGAGGGCAGAGCUCCGUCACCACGGACCCACGUUGCUGUCAGUCUUCAGAGUGCACACAGCGCGGACCAAUGACUGUGAGGCCCGGCAACUGCAAGGCCUGCUUCCUGCGCUCUCUACUCUUGCGGGCUCUCCCUGUCUUUUCUGUCUAGGGUCUCCGGGCUGGGCUGGUGAAACCAAAGCUGGCCUUGUACUGGAAGGAGCUAUAGGUGUGGACCACCGUUCACUACGCUGUUGCAGAAGACAGUCUUGCUGAGCAGGUGGGGCACACCUUUAAUUCCAGCACUCAGGAGGAAGAGGCAGGGGAAUCUCUUGUGAGUCUCAAUAAAUAAAUGAAUGAAUGAACAAAUAAUGUUUUAAGUGCUGAAACCCUGGGAGCCUUUCAGAAAUGGGUCCAGAAGGUAUACGGCACAAGAUGAUGCCUGGAGCCUGCCCUGGGGCCCUCGAAGGGAACCAGUCCUCACAGGCACACAGCAGGUCUGCAGACAAACCUCCCCACAAUGCUGCGGCCUGGCUGCCCAGGCCACCCCUCACC